CUGGACGUCUUAUGAGAUGGCCAUAGAACAGAAAUUUGGGACUUUUUACAUCCUUCUCCCCGAAAUCAUAUGAAAUGUGCAACUGAGAUACGGAGAAUGAGAUUUUGCAUCAAAUUCUUUCUCAUUACGGAGCAGCUAUGCCUGUGUUCUCCUUGGAAAGUACUUGUGGAAUCCCAGAAGAGACCUACUCCAGUUUGAAGACUACUAGGGACAGAUUUACAUUAACCAAGAUACGAGACGGACGUAUAAAAUCUACAUGCCAAUUUAUUUGUUUUCAGUGAGCAAUAUAACUAUCCUAUGGACCCAAACUUGCAUGAAGUGGACAGGAAGCAGAUACAACUCAGGAUCUGGCAUCAGACACCCUGCACAUGAGACCAGCUUUAUCACUUACUGAUGGAGAGACUUGACCAAAUUACCUUCUUCAGCUUCAGCUUCUUCAUUUACAAAAUGAGGAUGAAAACAGCAUCUUCCUUAGAGAUCUCACAUGAGGAUUAAGG